rnacentral:rRNA from 1 species
UAAGGAAUAUUGGACAAUGGAGGAAACUCUGAUCCAGCCAUCCCGCGUGUAGGAUGACUGCCCUAUGGGUUGUAAACUACUUUUAUUUGGGAAGAAACCUGGUCAUUCACUGAUCAGUUGACGGUACCUUAUGAAUAAGCACCGGCUAACUCCGUGCCAGCAGCCGCGGUAAUACGGAGGGUGCAAGCGUUAUCCGGAAUCACUGGGUUUAAAGGGAGCGUAGGCGGCACGAUAAGUCAGAGGUGAAAGGCUGUAGCUUAACUAUGGAAUUGCCUUUGAUACUGUUGUGCUUGAAUCGAGUUGAGGUCAGCAGAAUGUGACAUGUAGCGGUGAAAUGCAUAGAUAUGUCAUAGAAUACCAAUUGUGAAGACAGCUGGCUGGACUUGUAUUGACGCUGAGGCUCGAAAGCGUGGGGAGCAAACA